rnacentral:lncRNA from 1 species
GUGACCCAGUACAGGCUGUCUGAAGGUAACCCAGUACAGGCUGUCUGAAGGUAACCCAGUACUGACUGUCUGAAGGUAACCCAGUACUGACUGUCUGAAGGUGACCCAGUACUGACUGUCUGAAGGUAACCCAGUACAGACUGUCUGAAGGUGACCCAGUACAGGCUGUCUGAAGGUAACCCAGUACAGGCUGUCUGAAGGUAACCCAGUACAGGCUGUCUGAAGGUAACCCAGUACAGGCUGUCUGAAGGUGACCCAGUACAGGCUGUCUGAAGGUGACCCAGUACAGACUGUCUGAAGGUAACCCAGUACUGACUGUCUGAAGGUGACCCAGUACUGACUGUCUGAAGGUAACCCAGUACUGACUGUCUGAAGGUAACCCAGUACUGGCUGUCUGAAGGUAACCCAGUACAGACUGUCUGAAGGUGACCCAGUACAGGCUGUCUGAAGGUAACCCAGUACAGGCUGUCUGAAGGUAACCCAGUACUGACUGUCUGAAGGUAACCCAGUACUGACUGUCUGAAGGUAACCCAGUAAUGACUGUCUGAAGGUAACCCAGAACUGACUGUCUGAAGGUAACCCAGUACUGGCUGUCUGAAGGUAACCCAAUACUGACUGUCUGAAGGUAACCCAGUACUGGCUGUCUGAAGGUAACCCAGUACUGGCUGUCUGAAGGUAACCCAGUACUGGCUGUCUGAAGGUAACCCAGUACUGGCUGUCUGAAGGUAACCCAGUACUGGCUGUCUGAAGGUAACUCAGUACUGGCUGUCUGAAGGUAACUCAGUACUGGCUGUCUGAAGGUAACUCAGUACUGGCUGUCUGAAGGUAACCCAGUACUGGCUGUCUGAAGGUAACCCAGUACUGGCUGUCUGAAGGUGACCCAGUACUGACUGUCUGAAGGUGACCCAGUACUGACUGUCUGAAGGUGACCCAGUACUGACUGUCUGAAGGUAACCCAGUACUGGGCCGGAAAAUGAAUGGAAGUGAAUAGGUCAUUUCCACAUCAAAGGGUCAUUCCACUGUAAAACAAUUAUAAAUAAAUCCUGAGCUUUCUUACAGCGCUCAGAUAUAAGACAGACACCUCGAAACAUACUUUAAAAAAAAAAUGAAAUGUUGUUGACUAGCUGUUUGACCAUGUUUAGACACAUCUCAGAAUGUCCUCUCCUUUCGGGUGUCGUUAAAAAGGUCCUUGUUCGUUUGUUGAAUUUUCUCAGUCGAAUGAAAAAGCAUUUAGAAAUGUAUUCUAAACUCAGUGUAUUUUUUAAUUAUUGAUUACUAAUAAACAGUAUUUAGCGAUAAGAAA